ensembl:lncRNA
UUUCUACCGUAUAAUUUUCCUACCAUGUUGGAGCAGGAGGGUGGGUGACCCACCAUCCUGUAUUUGGACCUACUACAUCAGAGCAUCUGCGUUAAAAUAGUGAUGUCGCUCUAUAAUGAGUGACUUUGAGUUUAGUGAAAGAAAUGUUCAUUGUGUGGAUGCUUUAAGCAUCCACACUAUUGAGUUCCUCUUGGGACUUCCGUACACUUUUUGGCACUUAACUACUUCCACAAUUUUCAGCCGAUUUUUACCGUUCAAAUUUUAAAAUAUUCUGCUAUUUCUGCUAAUUCCUGCUAUGUCUUUUGGUAUUUUUCACUAUUAUACUUUUUAAAAUAUUAAGCUUAAUUUGUCCCAUUGAAAUGAAUGGGAAACUUCUGCAAUUCUGCUAAAAUUUGCUUGUUUCUGAAACUUAACUACUUCCUCAUAUUUUCACGUAGAACAACCAUUCAAACUUUAAAAUGUUCUCAAAUUAUUGGGCUAUUCAGGUAUGAUUCAGCUUUUUCAAAUCUUCUACUGUUUUACUUUUAUGCCUCUUAAAGUUUUCAGUUGCAAAAUUGUGAUUUUUCACAAAAUACAUGCGUUGUUAUGGUUGCUAUGCACUUGGCUUCCAGUGUGCCACUGAAGGUUUUGCAGUCUUCUCUUCAUGUCCGAACAACUUCUUGCUACUUGCUCAAUCUUCACUCAACUUCCACAAAUUAUACAUCAAAACGUAGGUAUUUUUGCUGGGUUUCCGAAAAUGGUCAUUUGUUUGAGGGGAGUCGUCAUUAUGAGAAAUAGACUGCAAAAAUCCUGUGUCUCUCUGUGCUGCGUGCACCUGUUUUGGCGGGAAAAAGUGCACAGGCUCUCUGAUUGGUGGAUUCAAAUUCAGCAGCUCCAAGGCUGCUUGACUGAGCUAGAAACUUACUUCUCUGUGUGUGUGUGUGUGUGUGUGUGUGUGUGAGAGAGAGAGAGAGAGAGGAAGCCUUUUUACGGGAUGAUCUCAUUGUAAGAUUCAAAUUCAAUAUAUUUAGACUGGUUGACUGAAUUGGAUCUUGUGUGUGUCUCUCUGUGCAUGUGUGUUUCCAUAUGUGUCCAUAUUUGUGAUUGUGUGGCUGUUAUAUUUUUUUUUGCCAAUUUUUUUUCAUUUAACAAGUAUAUUUGAGGGACCCUCAGCAUGUUCAGCAUUUUUUCAGCUGUCCAUUUUGCUUUUCCAAUUUUUCUGUUUAAGUUAUUACUAUUGUGCUAAAUCAUACUAUUUCUGCUAUUUUAUAAGAUUUGUGCUAAAUAUAGUAUUUCUGUCAAAUUAUAGUAUUUGUGCUAAAACAUAGUAUUGAUUUAAAAUUACAAUAUUCAUAGUUCAUCACAGUGUCUCUGGUAAAUCACAGUAUUUCUGCUCUGUUGUACUAUUUUUCUAAAUCAUAGUGUUUCUGUAAUGCUUAAGUAUUUUUGGCUAAAUAUAUUCUUUCUGUUAUCUUAUACUAUUUCUCCUAAAUUCUUGUAUUUUUGAGAAGUUAUCAUGUUUCUGGUAAGUUACAAUAUUUCUGCUAAGUUCUGCUAUGCUAUUAUAUUUCUGCCAAGUAUUAUGUUUCCUCUAAGAUAUUGCAGUUCUGCUAAGUUAUUCCAUUUUAGCAAAGUUCCUUUGCUUCUGCAAAGUUUGUACAAUUUCUGCAACUUUUCAGCUUUUUCAGCUACUUUUUGCAUACAGCUUCAGCUUUAAAGCAUCCACACUGCAUUUUCGCAGGAAAUGCAAAUCUUUCUAGUUCUAAUUGUAAUUAUGAACUAUGUGCAGAUAUUCUUGAUGCCAUUACAACUGCUGAGCAGUACAGGCAAUGUUUAAAUCGCCACGCCUCACUGGAAGUGUUUUAUUUGUGUUUUCUUUUAAGUGCUUCACAUGUUAACUGUGUUGUGUUUCAUACAUGACUUCUGUUGUGUUGUUUCUUAGAGUUCUCGUUUCUACACUGUGAAGCCUGCAUCAGCAUUAAAGGAUUUCUUCAGCCUGCUCGAGCUGCAGGUUCUUGCUUGGCAAUAAUAAUCUUAUGGUCGCCCGCUCGCUGUGUGUGCAGUUUCUUUCUCACAGGUCAUCACUGGAGUGAAUACUCACUCACUAAAGUGCGUGGACGGGUGUUUAUGUGUAUCAUAGCUUUCAGUUAUAAACCACAGACUUUAUAAUGAAGCAG